ACGAACGCUGGCGGCGUGCCUCAUACAUGCAAGUCGAGCGAAGUUUUUCUGGUGCUUGCACUAGAAAAACUUAGCGGCGAACGGGUGAGUAACACGUAAAGAACCUGCCUCAUAGACUGGGACAACUAUUGGAAACGAUAGCUAAUACCGGAUAACAGCAUUAACUGCAUGGUUGAUGUUUAAAAGUUGGUUUUGCUAACACUAUGAGAUGGCUUUGCGGUGCAUUAGCUAGUUGGUGGGGUAAAGGCCUACCAAGGCGACGAUGCAUAGCCGACCUGAGAGGGUGAUCGGCCACACUGGGACUGAGACACGGCCCAGACUCCUACGGGAGGCAGCAGUAGGGAAUCUUCCGCAAUGGGCGAAAGCCUGACGGAGCAACGCCGCGUGAGUGAAGAAGGAUUUCGGUUCGUAAAGCUCUGUUGUUAGGGAAGAAUGAUUGUGUAGUAACUAUACACAGUAGAGACGGUACCUAACCAGAAAGCCACGGCUAACUACGUG
rnacentral:rRNA from 1 species